rnacentral:rRNA from 1 species
CCCGCUGAACUUAAGCAUAUCAAUAAGCGGAGGAAAAGAAACUAACAAGGAUUCCCUUAGUAACUGCGAGUGAAGAGGGAAAAGCUCAAAUUUAAAAUCUGACAGUGUUUUGCUGUCCGAGUUGUAACCUAGAGAAGUGUAACCUGUGCUGGACCAUGUACAAGUCUCCUGGAAUGGAGCAUCGCAGAGGGUGAGAAUCCCGUGUUUGACAUGGACUACCAGUGCAUUGUGGUUGUGCUCUCAACGAGUCGAGUUGUUUGGGAAUGCAGCUCUAAAUGGGUGGUAAAUUCCAUCUAAAGCUAAAUAUUGGCGAGAGACCGAUAGCGAACAAGUACCGUGAGGGAAAGAUGAAAAGAACUUUGGAAAGAGAGUUAAACAGUAUGUGAAAUUGUUGAAAGGGAAACGUUUGAAGUCAGUCAUGUCGGGUGGGGAUCAGCCUGGCAGAUUGUUGGGUGUACUUCCUGGUUGACGGGCCAACAUCAGUUUUGACUGCCAGAGAAAGGCGAAGGGAAUGUGGCACCUUUGGGUGUGUUAUAGCUCUUUGUCGUAUGUGGUGGUUGGGACUGAGGAAAGCAGUGCGCCGAAAGGCGGGGUUUCGACCACAUUCGCACUGAGGAUGUUGGCAUAAUGGCUUUAAGCGACCCGUCUUGAAACACGG